rnacentral:rRNA from 1 species
AUUGAACGCCGGCGGUAGGCCUAACACAUGCAAGUCGAACGGCAGCACAGAGGAGCUUGCUCCUUGGGUGGCGAGUGGCGGACGGGUGAGGAAUACAUCGGAAUCUACUUUUUCGUGGGGGAUAACGUAGGGAAACUUACGCUAAUACCGCAUACGACCUACGGGUGAAAGCAGGGGACCUUCGGGCCUUGCGCGAUUGAAUGAGCCGAUGUCGGAUUAGCUAGUUGGCGGGGUAAAGGCCCACCAAGGCGACGAUCCGUAGCUGGUCUGAGAGGAUGAUCAGCCACACUGGAACUGAGACACGGUCCAGACUCCUACGGGAGGCAGCAGUGGGGAAUAUUGGACAAUGGGCGCAAGCCUGAUCCAGCCAUACCGCGUGGGUGAAGAAGGCCUUCGGGUUGUAAAGCCCUUUUGUUGGGAAAGAAAUCCAGCCGGCUAAUACCUGGUUGGGAUGACGG